rnacentral:rRNA from 1 species
UACGUAGGGUCCGAGCGUUGUCCGGAAUUAUUGGGCGUAAAGGGCUCGUAGGCGGUUUGUCGCGUCGGGAGUGAAAACACGGGGCUUAACCCCGUGCCUGCUUCCGAUACGGGCAGACUAGAGGUAUGCAGGGGAGAACGGAAUUCCUGGUGUAGCGGUGAAAUGCGCAGAUAUCAGGAAGAACACCCGUGGCGAAGGCGGCUCUCUGGGACGGUACUGACGCUGAGGCGCGAAAGCUAGGGGAGCAAACAGG